GCGUGCAGGCGGCUUGAUAAGUCCCGUGUGAAAGCCUACGGCUUAACUGUAGGAGGUCGCGGGAGACUGUCAGGCUCGAGGGCAGGAGAGGGAAGUAGAAUUCCCGGUGUAGCGGUGAAAUGCGUAGAUAUCGGGAGGAAUGCCAGUGGCGAAGGCGGCUUCCUGGCCUGCUUCUGACGCUGAGACGCGAAAGCUGGGGGAGCGAACGGGAUUAGAUACCCCGGUAGUCCCAGCCGUAAACGAUGGUCACUAGGUGUUGGGGGGUAAUCCCUCAGUGCCGAAGCUAACGCAUUAAGUGACCCGCCUGGGGAGUACGGCCGCAAGGUUGAA
rnacentral:rRNA from 1 species